GGGAAAGAUGAGAUUAGGAACAGCAGGGCAGCAGCUGACACAACGUGUGGCCCAUUGUACAGAUGCAGUAAGUGACGGCCAUGACUAUUACUGCUGUUGUUACUCUUGGCAUUACUCAGUCACCUGUGGGUUAGGAGCCUGAUGCCUGGCGCGUUGAAGGGAUUAACCCGUGAUCCUUCGGCCAGUGACAGACCCGAGAUCAGAUGCAGGGUUCAUUCUCUGAAGCUCUGCCUUUCCUGCCUCUUUCUGUUUGGUCCCUAAGCCGGCAGCAAGCCAAGCACUGCGUUGCGCAGACCGAAUUUAGCAUCCAGAGCAGAGCGUGUUGGUGGGUGAAAAGUGGCGCUGUUACUCGUGAUGCUGUGACAGGAGGGCUAGAUCAGAAUCUAAAGAAUAAGGCUCCACGGCGUCAUCUGCAGCCUGCAGUGCUUUUCCUCAGGAGAAGAGUUUUGAGUGUCAGAGAGGAAGUUGAUACUGGAAUCAAGAACGUUGACUCCUAGAUGGAGCUGUGCCACCGGCUAAAUGCAGCGUGGCUUGAAGAGAUGUGUUUGUUGUCGGGUCAGCAACCUCAUUCUGGAUGCGUGAAGGGAAGCUGUCUUUCUCACCAAAAAGAUAGCUAAAUAUAAUCACUUAAGGAAAGCUGAUGUACCUUACAGAAAGAAAAGAAAGUUUCCAGACUUUCAAUUUACACAGCGCUAUCUCCAAAGUCUGUGAGGCCGGGAAUCUGGCCAUCUCUAUGGAUUAUACAGAUCUGUUUCUUUUGGUCCUUUGUUGGUUUCUUCACUUUCACCAUCUUUGUAGCUUCUACGUUUCCAAAUUGAGUCCUGGUCUUCAUGUGACGUGUAAAUAGUAAAAUGUCCAUUUGACCAGACUCGAGUGCGUGGGUGACUUGGAUCGAAACUAGAGAAAUCUCCAAAUCAGAUAACGUCUAAACCGUUCUGAAUACGAUCUUUGAUCACAUUAAAUAAUUGUAAUCUCCUUGUCUAAAACUCUGGGAUCUAAGCCCAGGGCAGAUCUCGUUGUUAAGGAGUCAAAACUUAGACAGAUAUGAUAAAAUAGCAAAAGGCUAAAUAUUCUGUAAGUUCUCAGCGCUAUUCUUUCAUUCUCAUUAGCAUAUUUAGUUGUUUCCAGUGAGACCCCUUUGCAGCAGACACAGAAAGACGACGUGUCGCUGCGCUGAUGGGUGGUACCAUUUGAAAUCCACACAGGCUUUCUGUCCACCUGCUGUGCUUCGUUCCAGUACACGUUUCUAUGAUUAAUUUGAUUUUUCUUCAGUACGUCCGAAUGGUCUGAGUCAUUUGUGUUUGUGCAUUUUGUGCUGUGGAUCAAAGUGGGCUUCUGCUUUCUAGGAAGUGGGCUGUUGAGGAAUUUGAAUUCCAGACUCUCUAUCACAGAUGCCUAUGGAUCCUGAUUCCUUCCCUGAGACUUACAGUCCCACACAUGCACGACCCCAGCCUCCCUCUAGAGAAUUCAAGCAUUCUGAACUUGGAUGAGAAAAAUUACCUCUUAAUGUUUUGCUAAUACAUGACAGAAUUUUUUAGCAUUUCCUUUCAUGUUUAAUAUCAUCAGAAAACUGUGGUGGUAGUAGCAGUACUUAAGGCUUUGUCACCAGUGAAAAGCAUGGGUACAUUCCUAUCACCUUGUCACCGAUCUCCUGGAACGUGACUCAUGCUCGGCGCGCCUUCAACAUUGUGAUGGUGAUUCGAUUCCACCAUUUGAUCUUGUCAUGUAAUAAAGUGGUGAGGAAGUGUGUGCGUUGUACUAUCAGAACGGCCUUCACAUUCUGAUAAUUUUAGUAUAAUUCGUUUCCUUUGUAACCUUAAGUACUUUAUUUCUUUAAAAGUGUUAUUCUGAGAAUGGAUUCAUGGCUUUCAUCCGACUGGCAAAGAAAUCCAUGACUCAAGAAGGGUGAAGAAACCCUGCGUCAGGUUACAUUAAAAAGGUAGAUCACUAGUUGGAAAAACUAUGUUUUACUCUCUUCUGCAGAGUUUCAGGUACAUCAGGGCUGAACUGAAGCUUAUUGCUGUAUCUAUAUUUUCCAUCAGAUUUAUCUUCAUGUUUCUGUAAAAUGCGUUAGUGCAUCAUUUGCUGAGAACAGGUUGAACCUCAGCAUGUGUCUGCUCCUAAGCAAAGGUGCUGAGAAAUACACAAGCUACAGAGCUGCAGGCACGCCGAGUUGACCAGGUUAUGACCUGCAGUACAGCCGGAGCACAGUCAUCUUCUACAUACUCAGUACAUGUUAACAGUAAGUGCAGAAGAAGAGAGGACAAAGGAAAAGUCAGGCAUAUGGACCCCAAAUGCUGGGUGAGCUUGCAUGGAAGGAUGAGGUCUGAGCUGGAAACCGAAUACGGUUAGAAUUCCAGUAGACAGAGGAGUCGGCCCUCGUGGUUAGACGGAGAGAAGGAGCAGAGGAGAGACACGAACAGUCAGCCUCCCUGCUCCCAGCCUGCUUUGUUUUUCAUCAUAGCUCUUAAAACAACCUGGAAUGUAUGUAUGUAUUUAAUGAUCCAUUGUCUCUGAUUAAAAUAUAAGAUCAGGAACUUUGUUUUGUUCACUGGUGUACCCUGAGUACAAAGAAAUAGUGCCUGGCACAUAGUAGUUGCUUGAUAAAAAAUUACUGAAGGAAGAAACGAGAGAGGGAGAGAAAGAGAGAAGGAGGGAGGAUGUGACAGAGAGGGAGAGGCAGUGACUGUGUGGCCGGAGAAAACGGACCAGAACGGUCCGAUCAGAGCAGAGCGCGAGUGUAGAAACAUGAAACUCCAAAUGGAGUGGUUAGUACUUACUGCGCCCUUAAGAGAAUUAACCUGUACAACCGGUAGCUGGGAGCCAGCUAGAAGGCACUCUAUCUAAUAAGCUAAUUAACACCAAAGUUCCCAAUUUUAGUUCUGGGAACAUAGCAGGGGCUCAAAAAAUGUUAGCUCUUCUUUCCUGAUAUUUAGAUGUUUACGUUUUAAACUUAAUGAUUCGAUGACACAAGCCUCACUUUAAUUGCAAAGAGUGUUUCAU